rnacentral:rRNA from 1 species
UACGUAGGGGGCAAGCGUUGUUCGGAAUUACUGGGCGUAAAGGGCGCGUAGGCGGCACGGCAAGUCGGGAGUGAAAGGCCUGGGCUCAACCGAGGAACUGCUUUCGAGACUGCCGAGCUAGAGUGCGGAAGGGGCAACCGGAAUUCCCAGUGUAGCGGUGAAAUGCGUAGAUAUUGGGAAGAACACCUGAGGCGAAGGCGGGUUGCUGGGCCGACACUGACGCUGAGGCGCGAAAGCGUGGGGAGCGAACAGG